GUGGCACACAACAUCGGGUGCUCAUCAGCCACUUAAAUGGGACUAGCCCGGCUGCUGAUCUCACUGAAGUCUCGAGUGACAGGUUCCCCUGCGUCUCCCUCAGUGGAUCCCCCGUCUUCCUUGGGAGCUGGGAAAGUUACCUGAGUGGAGGCCAAGAUUCCCCUUUAGAGGCAUCUCCCUGGAUGCAAGGGACUGAGGAAGGCCAUGGGCACCUGCGAGAGUCUAGGCUGAGGCUACACUUCAGCGGCUCCUCAAAGGCCGGUGUAUCUGGACUCAGACCCCGACAGACCAACUGGGUAUCUAUGAGGAGUGUCUCUCUUUCUGUCUCUCUUUGACUUCCAGCCUGCUUCUUCAGGCCUCCCUGGCCUCUGAGUGAGGCAGGGGGCGUCCCUAACUCUCUUCUAACUUCAUCAACGUCACGGAACCCAAUGCCAACCACCGCAAGGAUGGUCCUUACGGACAUGGCAACUCGCCUCAGCACAGAUGCGAGAAAAGCAGAAAUGGAGGAAAACACCUCUGGUGACUUGUCAAAACAACCAAGUUUUACUUCACUAAGAAACCCAAACGAGAUGACUCUAAGGACCUGACUCUUUGCAGGAUGAUCCUUACGGACAUGGCAACUCGCCUCAGCACAGAUGCGAGAAAAGCAGAAAUGGAGGAAAACGCCUGUGGUGACUUGUCAAAACAACCAACUUUUACUUCUCUUAAGAAACCCAAACGAGAAGACUCUAAGGACCCAGACCUUAGUAGUAUGGACAUUUUAACAAUAUUAGUUCUUCCAAUGUAUGAAUGCAGGAUAUUUUCCCACUUCAGUAUGUCUUUGUCCUCUUGCAUUUCUUUUAUCAAAGUCGUAUAUUUUUCAGCGUAUAGAACAUUCACCUCCUUGGUUGAAUUUGUUCAUAAGUACUUUAUAACUUUUGAUGCUAUUUUGUAAGUAAGGUUGUUUUCUUGAUUUACUUUUUGGAUAUAGCAUUGGUAGUAUAACAAAACCAGCUGAUUUUUGUGUGUUGAUUAUGUUAUAGAACUUUCCUGGAUUUGUUACUAGUACUAAUAGAAGUAUUGUUAAUAGAAUCUUUAGGGUUUCUACAUAUAGGAUCAUUUCAUCUAUAAACAGAGACAAUUUUACUGCUUCUGUUAUGAUUUGGAUGCAUUUUGUUUUGCUUUGCUCAACUGCUGUCACUAGGAUGUCCAGCACUGUGAAGACUAGGAGUGAAAACUGUGGGCAUUGUUGCCUUCUGCUAAAACUUAGAGGGUAAGCUUACAGUCUUCCCGCCUUAUUGAUGUGAGCUUGGGAAUUCAUAAAGGGCCUUUAUUGUGUUGUGGUUAAGUUCUUCCUAUACCUAUUUUUGCUGUUCAUUUUUAUCAUGAAUAGAUGUAAAACUUUGUGAAAUGCUGUUCCUGCAUCUAUUGAGAUGAUCUAGUGACUUUUAUUAUUCAUUCUAUUAAUGUGGUGUAUCACAUUGACUGAUUUGUGAAUGUUACACAAGACUUGCAUCCCAGGUGGAAAUCUGGGAAACUCUCUGUACCUUCCUCCAAUCUUGAUGAGGACCUCAAGUGCUGUGAAAGACAGUUGUUAUUAUGAGUGGCUACUUAGUGACGUUAAGACCAUCAUAGAAAUCAUAGUUGGUAUAUAUCAACUAUGUUAGAAAGUUUGACUAUUUAAGAGGAUAAACAAAUGCAAAACACUUUGAUGAAUAAACACAAGAUAUAUAUUAUUUUCAAAUACCAUAGAAGAUGUUUUAAGCAGGGAAGUUUUAGGCCUAAAAAUGAUCAACUUUAUCCAAGCAGAAACCCCAGAAAUCAGAUGUUCUUGCACUCUGUGAUGACAAUCAGCUGUCACUUCAAAGUGUAACCAACAAGUAACAUCUAGCAGCAUACACAUUUCACUUAACAUCACUUAAAAGAUCCAUUGUAUUAAAUCUAAACAUCAAACUGAGGUUACUUCACAGAGAGAGUGAAGUGCCAAGGAAAAUACUGGUGAUCAGAGUCAAAGGACCGUCUGUCAGAAAAGUGUGGAGCAGUGUAACUAAUUCUACCGAUACUAACAGUGUCACAGAGAAACAUGGAUUCUGGCCAUCCACAGGUAGUAUGCACUAAAGUAGAAAAUUAUAAAUUCAAAAAUUGAUUCAGAAUAUAAAAAUACUUUCAAAUGAUAAGGAAAUAAUCACACAGUGAAUAAUUAUAUGAUAAACUGGAGAGGUGUUCAAAUCAAGAAACUCAGAAUGUCUCGAGACAUUAGUGUCUGUUAGAGAAUGUCUCGGUGAAAUGCUUUACUCAUGAGAACAAUAUGGAUGUUUAUGCUUUUAGAGGAAAAUAAUACAUAUUCCAAUAACUGUUUUAAUUCAGGCAAAUAAAAAACCUCAAAAUUUAUAAGAUUUCUUAAAAUGGUCAACAGAGCUGCAAGGAAAAUAUAAAAAUUUCCCAGCACUAGAAAUGAUUCAAGAGAAAGAUUCAGAGAAUAAAUAAAAGUGAGAAGCCAGUGAUCCAUCAGUAUACUGGCUGAGCACAAGCCAGGAUUGAUUCCUUUGUCCCAGAUCGAUGGAAAAAAAACAAAUAAAUAUAGUGAUUUGAGACUGAAAGGUGAGAUCUCCAAACACAAAAGAAUGUCACUACAAAGGUGGAAAAGAGAAAAACAAUGGAAGGGCUUUAUCACUAGAGAUGUGCCACAAAUUCCUGAAAAUUCCAGUGUGCUUUACUGACCACCAGAACCAUGAAAAUAUGAGUGAAAUAUAAUACUCUUUUUAUCUAAAGGCUUUCAAUGUCUUUUACCAUAGUUUCCCUAUGCAUCACAGUAACAGAGAAGUUUAGUCUCAUACCACCUGCAUCAAUUAUUGAAUUUGGGAGGAAAUGGUGAACACGUUAUCUGCAGCAGGUACUCUGCUCAAAAUAAGUCAAUUCCCAGCCUCUCAGACAUUCUCCCUCCUAAAUCCCUAAA